AGAGUUUGAUCCUGGCUCAGGACGAACGCUGGCGGCGCGCUUAACACAUGCAAGUCGAGCGAGAACCUGGCCUUCGGGCCUGGGGAAAGCGGCGAACGGGUGAGUAACACGUGGGUAACCCACCCUUGGUACUGGGAUAGCCCGGGGAAACCCGGAUUAAUACCGGAUGGCCCAACAGCUCUUCGGGGCGGUUGGAAAAGGUAGCUUCGGCCUCCGACCAAGGACGGGCCCGCGGCGGAUUAGCUUGUUGGUGAGGUAACGGCUCACCAAGGCGACGAUCCGUAGCUGGUCUGAGAGGACGAUCAGCCACACUGGGACUGAGACACGGCCCAGACUCCUACGGGAGGCAGCAGUGGGGAAUCUUGCGCAAUGGGCGAAAGCCUGACGCAGCGACGCCGCGUGGGGGAAGAAGGCCUUCGGGUUGUAAACCUCUUUCAGCAGGGACGAAGCCACUCGGGUUAAUAGCCCAGAGGGUGACGGUACCUGCAGAAGAAGCCCCGGCUAACUCCGUGCCAGCAGCCGCGGUAAUAC
rnacentral:rRNA from 1 species